UGGAGUUCUCCUGGUGUAGAGGAAAUUCUGAGCCUGGCACCAGCUGAUCUCUGCUCCUCUUUGAGGAGAAAGUCUGUCCUGAGGGCAGUUUCUCCUGCUUGGACACGGUCGCUCUAGAGCAUACCAGAUGCAAAAUCAGCCCUAAAAUCUGACUGAUAGAUACCUGAAGGGGAAAGUGGUUUUGUCCAUCUGCAUGCAGACGAGGAAGGGGUACUCCGAGAACUGCACAGUGGUGAUGAAGUCCAGGGUGGCCUCGGUCUCAAAACCUACUUCCACUCCAGCGCUUACAAAGUCUGUAUCCACUGUCACAUUACCGAUGACGACCAACGCUCCCCUGCACACAAUGUCAAGGAUGAGCUUAGAAAGUGCACUAAAAAAAUCUUGAGAAGGUAAAGCCUGCUGCCCUGAUCCAUACACCUGCCCCUGCCUAUCCUGAGGGCUGGCAGAUGUAGAAAACCAGAUGCCACCCAGAAAUACCCAUCAUCAAACAAAGAACAGCAAACCCACAGUGCUAAAAGUAAGACUCUCUGUACCACAAGCUGAACUCCAUCCCUCCAGAGAUAUCGAUGGCCAGACCACCUUGGAACUCAGCACUGGCUCUUAGACCAGACUGUAGAGGAAUCACCUUCAAAGAAAGCGAGAAAGCAAGAUUUGUUUUAAAUACAUCAAAAAGAAAAUACAUUAUAUGGACAAAAAUAUUGGGACACCCCUUCUAAUGAGCAGAAUAAGGCCCUUCACCACAUUGAUUGGAUCUCCAGACAUGGAGAACAUCUUGGACAUCAGGUCACUGUAGCCCUUGAAGAAGGUCACUGGCCGGAGCUGCACAUCGAACAGCAGAGCAGACAUUCCAGCAAAAGACUCCAGUUCUUCUUCUCCUUCAUCCGGCGUGGCUGCAAUUAGAGACUCUAGACCCUGUGCUUCAAUUGUCACCUGAAAAACAGCACGACAGACACAAAGAGUGUCCAAUGGAGAGUAGAAGAUUCUUCACUUCCAUAUAGGAUGGACCACUGCUCAUAAUCACAUCAGCUGCCGCGGCACGAACGUUCUUCUCAUAAAUAUGCUUGUUCUGAUGGUGAUGGGGGAUUGAUAAUUUACCUCGGGUGUAAUCAGCUGAGGGUCGUAUCUCUGCAGCGAUGUGAUGGCAAUGGUGCUGAACGCUCCCACCUCAGACUCAGCAUAUUUGGCUAAAACAGGAACACCCUCCGGCAGAAGAGCGUUCUUCAAUGCUAGCAGGACUUUAGUUGCAGCUUGAUGACGAGCAUUGAUGGACAAGAUGUGUGUUUCUUCAACAUCAGCAGACUUAAUGAUGCCAUUCUCCAGAGUGAUUACUGUUUCAGAAGCAGACUUCCCACUGACGCCCAAUACCUAAAGGGGAAGAGAGGAAAAGUCGAUAAAAAAGUGCCAGGAAUUGUGUAUAAAUGCAUGAGCACCAUGAAGGGCCUCUGAAGUGCCUCAAGCCUGACUUUACCCAGAAUGCUUUCUGCUGAGCUGCCAUGGAAGAUGUUGUUUUUGCGAGAGCGUUUUCCAGCACUUUCAACUUGAACAUUUGAAAUCUGAGAACAGGACAGGAGAAGUCGAAGUAGCUGUUCGUCCUGGAUCUCUGGGUUCCUCCAGACAAGGCUGAUGUCCACAUCACUGCUAAUCCUGAAUCCAGUGUUCCCUCUAGUGGAUCCCGUCGGCCUGUUCAGCCCGACCUCAGCGCUGUAGCUAUA